rnacentral:rRNA from 1 species
AGUGAACGCUGGCGGUAGGCCUAACACAUGCAAGUCGAACGGCAGCACAGGAGAGCUUGCUCUCUGGGUGGCGAGUGGCGGACGGGUGAGGAAUACAUCGGAAUCUACUUUUUCGUGAGGGAUAACGUAGGGAAACUUAAGCUAAUACCGCAUACGACCUACGGGUGAAAGCAGGGGACCUUCGGGCCUUGCGCGAAUGAAUGAGCCGAUGUCGGUUUAGAUAGUUGGCGGGGAAAAGGCCCACCAAGGCGACGAUCCGUAGCUGGUCUGAGAGGAUGAUCAGCCACACUGGAACUGAGACACGGUCCAGACUCCUACGGGAGGCAGCAGUGGGGAAUAUUGGACAAUGGGCGCAAGCCUGAUCCAGCCAUACCGCGUGGGUGAAGAAGGCCUUCGGGUUGUAAAGCCCUUUUGUUGGGAAAGAAAUCCAGCUGGCUAAUACCCGGUUGGGAUGACGGUACCCAAAGAAUAAGCACCGGCUAACUUCGUGCCAGCCGCCGCCGUAA